GGAUGUGUGGCUCAAUGGUAGAGCACGUGUCUGGCAUGCAUGAGGCCCUAGGUUCAAUCCCCAGUACUGCAA
rnacentral:tRNA from 1 species